GUCCCAGUAGCGCAAUGGGUGUAGCGCGUUGGACAUCUAAUCCAAAGGUCGUGCCUUCAAAUCCCACUUGAGAUG